rnacentral:rRNA from 1 species
GAUGAACGCUAGCGGCAGGCUUAAUACAUGCAAGUCGAGGGGCAGCGGGGGUAGCAAUACCUGCCGGCGACCGGCAAACGGGUGCGGAACACGUACACAACCUUCCUUAUGGUGGGGGAUAGCCCAGAGAAAUUUGGAUUAAUACCCCGUAGAAUAGCAGUAAGGCAUCUUACAGUUAUUAAAGAUUUAUUGCCAGAAGAUGGGUGUGCGUCUGAUUAGGUAGUUGGUAGAGGUAACGGCUCACCAAGCCAACGAUCAGUAACUGGUGUGAGAGCACGACCAGUCACACGGGCACUGAGACACGGGCCCGACUCCUACGGGAGGCAGCAGUAAGGAAUAUUGGUCAAUGGACGCAAGUCUGAACCAGCCAUGCCGCGUGGA